UACGGGGGGGGCAAGCGUUGUUCGGAAUUACUGGGCGUAAAGGGCUCGUAGGCGGCCAACUAAGUCGGAUGUGAAAUCCCCAGGCUUAACCUGGGAACUGCAUCCGAUACUGGAUGGCUUGAAUCCGGGAGAGGGAUGCGGAAUUCCAGGUGUAGCGGUGAAAUGCGUAGAUAUCUGGAGGAACACCGGUGGCGAAGGCGGCAUCCUAGACCGGCAUUGACGCUGAGGAGCGAAAGCCAGGGGAGCAAACGGG
rnacentral:rRNA from 1 species